rnacentral:rRNA from 1 species
GUGAACGCUGGCGGUAGGCCUAACACCUUCAAGUCGAACGGCAGCACAGUAAGAGCUUGCUCUUACGGGUGGCGAGUGGCGGACGGGUUAGGAAUACAUCGGCAUCUACUUUUUCGUGGGGGAUAACGUAGGGAAACUAACGCUAAUACCGCAUACGACCUACGGGUGAAAGCAGGGGAUCUUCGGACCUUGCGCGAUUGAAUGAGCCGCUGUCGGAUUAGCUAGUUGGCGGGGUAAAGGCCCACCAAGGCGACGAUCCGUAGCUGGUCUGAGAGGAUGAUCCGCCACACUGGAACUGAGACACGGUCCAGACUCCUACGGGAGGCAGCAGUGGGGAAUAUUGGGCAAUGGGCGCAAGCCUGAUCCAGCCAUACCGCGUGGGUGAUGAAGGCCUUCGGGUUGUAAAGCCCUUUUGUUGGGAAAGAAAAGCUGCAGGUUAAUCCCCCGCUGUUCUGACGGUACCCAAAGAAUAAGCACCGGCUAACUUCGUG